UUAAUGAGAGAGAGGGAAACUAUAUUUGAACUUGGAUUGGGACAUUUAUUUUACUUAAACAUAAGUUUGCUUAUGACACAUAAUCUAGAUGGGAUAUAUCUUAUCUAUAGUGUAUCCACCUGCUGUAAGUAGAUACUGUAUUUGUAUAGCCAAUAUUUUGCUGUAAGUACUUUAUCAUUUUAAUUAAAUUGAUUAAGAGGAAAAAAAAGAAUGGAAUUCUCUUUGAUGCAACUUUUUCCCCCCAGACCAGAAUCCGUAGAAGCUAGCCCUGUGGUAGUUGAGAAAUCCAACAGUUAUCCCCACCAGUUAUAUACCAGCAGCUCACAUCAUUCACACAGUUACAUUGGUUUGCCCUAUGCGGACCAUAAUUAUGGUGCUCGUCCUCCUCCGACACCU
rnacentral:sRNA from 1 species